UACGUAGGGUGCGAGCGUUGUCCGGAUUUAUUGGGCGUAAAGAGCGUGUAGGCGGCCAGGUAGGUCUGCUGUGAAAACUCGAGGCUCAACCUCGAGACGUCGGCGGAAACCAUCUGGCUAGAGUCCGGAAGAGGAGAGUGGAAUUCCUGGUGUAGCGGUGAAAUGCGCAGAUAUCAGGAGGAACACCAAUUGCGAAGGCAGCUCGCUGGGACGUUACUGACGCUGAGACGCGAAAGCGUGGGGAGCAAACAGG
rnacentral:rRNA from 1 species